rnacentral:ncRNA from 1 species
AAGGGUCUCCUCAGCAAAUAUGAUAGUCAUAUCAUUAGCGUCCAGGUUCAUUAGAGGCAGUCUCGGUUGUUUUAAACAGUUCAUGUACCUGAGCGGGUUUUCCCGAGAUUGGACUUAGCUAAAACGUUUGGUUCAAAACAUUUGCUUGCUGUCUUGGCAUAACAUCAAUAAAGGCAUAAACAUCGCAAAACAAUGGUUAUAUAUAAAUGGCUAUGAGGAUGGUUUUAGUACGUAGGCGUUGCGGAACUUCGGUUCAGAUAGAGCAAUGAAUCGUGCAUGCUAGGAAAACUGACCACACGCAGUGUUGGCAGCCCUAGUAUCUUUCGAUAGAUUUCCAUACCUCCGCGAUCAAAAAAAAAAAAAAAUAGCCAAAUGCCUCGUCAUCUAAUUAGUGACGCGCAUGAAUGGAUUAACGAGAUUCCUACUGUCCCUAUCUACUAUCUAGCGAAACCACAGCCAAGGGAACGGGCUUGGAAUAAUUAGCGGGGAAAGAAGACCCUUUUGAGCUUGACUCUAAUCUGGCAGUGUAAGGAGACAUAAGAGGUGUAGAAUAAGUGGGAGAUAUUAGACCUCGGUUUGGUAUCGUCAAUGAAAUACCACUACUCUUAUUGUUUCCUUACUUACUUGAUUAAAUGGAACGUGUAUCAUUUCCUAGCCAUUAUACGGAUAUAUUUAUUAUAUCUUAUGGUAUUGGGUUUUGAUGCAAGCUUCUUGAUCAAAGUAUCACGAGUUUGUUAUAUAAUCGCAAACAAAUUCUUUAAUAAAACGAUGCAUUUAUGUAUUUUUGAUUUGAAAAUUUGGUAUAACUCCAAUUACUCAGGUAUGAUCCAAUUCAAGGACAUUGCCAGGUAGGGAGUUUGACUGGGGCGGUACAUCUCUCAAUAAUAACGGAGUGUCCCAAGGCCAGCUCAGUGCGGACAGAACCACACAUAGAGCAAAGGCAAUGCUGACUGAUCUCGUGUUCAUACACACAGGGACAGCAAAGCUCGGCUAUCGAUCCUUUGUUAAAGAUUUUACAAAGGGUCAAAAGUAC